UGCGACGGCCGGGAAUUGAACUCAGGUCAACUGCUUGGAAAGCAGCUAUGCUAGCCAUUAUACAAUCGUCGC